GACGAACGCUGGCGGCGUGCUUAACACAUGCAAGUCGAACGGAAAGGCCCUGCUUUUGUGGGGUGCUCGAGUGGCGAACGGGUGAGUAACACGUGAGUAACCUGCCCUUGACUUUGGGAUAACUUCAGGAAACUGGGGCUAAUACCGGAUAGGAGCUCCUGCUGCAUGGUGGGGGUUGGAAAGUUUCGGCGGUUGGGGAUGGACUCGCGGCUUAUCAGCUUGUUGGUGGGGUAGUGGCUUACCAAGGCUUUGACGGGUAGCCGGCCUGAGAGGGUGAACGGCCACAUUGGGACUGAGAUACGGCCCAGACUCCUACGGGAGGCAGCAGUGGGGAAUAUUGCACAUGGGCGGAAGCCUGAUGCAGCAACGCCGCGUGCGGGAUGACGGCCUUCGGGUUGUAAACCGCUUUCGCCUGUGACGAAGCGUGAGUGACGGUAAUGGGUAAAGAAGCACCGGCUAACUACGUG
rnacentral:rRNA from 1 species